AUAAAUAUAAAAACAGAAAAUUAUUUGGGGGUAUAAUUUGGGAGAAAAAAAAGAGAGAAAUGGAAAUGCGGAUUAUAAUUGAGGACCAGUGACACACGAAAACGAAACUUGAACUCGUGUUUCCCUGAUCUCAGUUUAUUAUUUAAAGCGUAGUUUUUUUCAGCGCAUAAAACUAAAAUAACAAAUGGAAAAAGCAAGAUUCAGGACACAAAAUAAAUAAAUGUCGAAAAAUUUGGUGUUUUCAAAUAGGAAUGAAGGAAAACAAAUUCGAUAAGAAGCGACAUGCAUGACUAUUAUUGAUUUUAUAUGCGUUUUCAUUCUAACCGGGCUGCAUUCAUCCAUAGAUACCUAUUUUUUCGCCUCCUGAUUUCUUCAGUCUACUUACUGUUGAUUGUGCAACCAAAAGAUUCUCAUACCGUUCCUCUUGUCAAAAGAUAUACCAGAAACAGUGAUAAAUUCCAACCGGUUGCCAAUAAUUCGUUAACCCUAAAAAGAGGUGUGAACCAUUGGAACACAACACGACAACGACAAUGAUGAAGAGACGACGACACAAAGCGGAUGAUUCAGCCAGCAGCACACCAACGUGUGUACACCAGCAGCACCAAGUACAUUGGCCGAUUUUAUAUUUACUAAUGCAAAUAAUGCAUUUACCACAAACUUUAAUCAACAAUUUUAAACAAAAUAUACAGAACAGAAGCUCAAAGACGAACCAGAGAUAACAAAAUUAAUAUUUUCUUUUAUUUUUCUUUUGUUGUGGGUGCAAAAUUGAAUUUUUUCGCUCCCACACCUUAUCGAAUUAGCACAGCAAAAAUUUCAUUGUUCUUUGUCAAUUCUUCACUUUCAAUUUGUAAAAAUGUUUAAAUUAUUUACAUAAUAGUUAUUAUUACAUACGG